rnacentral:misc_RNA from 1 species
ACACCUCAACUCUCAUGGUCUUCCAUGAUGAGCUUGGACUUUGGGGGUUUGCUGGCCUUGUGGCCGGCUCCUCUCAAAUGAAUCAGCUUGCCAGUGUUUGGCGGCGUCACGGGUGUGAUAACUAUCUACGCUUGUGGUCGUCCACCAGGUAACCCUCAGCAAUGAAGGUUCAUUGGGGCUCAUAAACGUCUCUCCCCAGCGAGGACAACUUUUGAAC